rnacentral:rRNA from 1 species
UACGGAGGUCCCAAGCGUUGUUCGGAUUCAUUGGGCGUAAAGGGUGCGUAGGCGGUCGCGCAAGUCAGAUGUGAAAUCUCAGGGCUCAACCCUGAAACUGCAUUCGAUACUGCGUUGCUAGAGUGCUGGAGGGGAGACUGGAAUUUACGGUGUAGCAGUGAAAUGCGUAGAUAUCGUAAGGAAGACCAGUGGCGAAGGCGAGUCUCUGGACAGCAACUGACGCUGAGGCACGAAGGCCAGGGGAGCAAACGGG